rnacentral:misc_RNA from 1 species
GGGUUAACUCCCUCGAUGGCUUUUAUUAAUAUUUUCUUUAUUCAUAACAAAAUUACAAAAUGUAGAAAAGCUUGUUAUAAAGAAACUCUCAUUAGGAACAUGAACCCCAAGAAAACAAUAAUAUAGUGAGAAGUUGUUAUAAGAAAGUCCUAGACUUAAGCUCAAGAGUCACAAUAGAAUACUCUAUGUGGUAAAACAGCCUCCUAUAUUCCUAACAUCAUAUUCCACUAUGCAUGGGCACAAAGAAAAGCUCCCAUGCCACAUGGUCCUCACACCAACACCAAAACCCCAUGCUACAAGAUCCUCUCACCAACCCCACCCCAACCUCGCCUGGUGCAACUCCACUCAACUUCCUAUCAUUGUAAAUUCUUAACAACCAUCCUAAGCAUAAACCAAACAAUACAAAAUAAAGGUGGAAAAUAAGGAACCAAAUAUGUCCCAAGAAAAUGAACAAUGAAGUAGAGAUGGUUAACCAUUUCCUUAUCUCUCUCACAGGACACAAACUCAUCAUCAAAUCUCCCUUCUUUGGCUUCAGUCGUAAAAACAGAGACAAUGCAUCAUAAUUGGACAUCAUAGAAA